CACAGUUUCUGUGGGUCAGGAAUCCAGACAUCACGUGGAGGCCAUGGCCUUGUGCGUCCGUCCAGGCUGCCUCUCGACUGCUCGCCUCUGCAUCCCCCGCCCCACCAGCCACUCCACAGGGCUGCAUCUUGACCUGGCAACCCUCGGCCAUGCACAAAGCGGCCCUUUUCCCCUCUGAUUCUGCAUCCAGACAGCACCACAUGGCCGCAGGAAAUCUCGAGGUCUAUGGAAUGAUGCCGCCCAGAGUUCAGCCCAGGUGCCUGGGCACAACCCUGGUCAGGGGAAGCUCUGUCACACAGGCUCUGCAGGGUCUCCGGCGUCCCCUCCCUCCCUCAUGGACAUCUGCGUUGGCCUCACAUCGGCACUCAAGCAAUACCUCCAUUCCCAGCAACUCCACCUAUCUGGACAGGCACUGUCUACUUCCUGCGCCCUUCCUCAUCCACCCACACUGCUCAUCUCAGAAACAGGAAGCACCCCUUUUGCAAAUCCCUCUAUUUCUACCAGGAUCCGAGACCUUGGGGGUCACCAUAUUGUUUUGUUUUGUUUUUAUUAUGAUAUGUUAGUCACCAUACAAUAAAUCAUUAGUUUUUGA